AUUGAACGCUGGCGGCAUGCUUUACACAUGCAAGUCGAACGGCAGCGCGGGCUUCGGCCUGGCGGCGAGUGGCGAACGGGUGAGUAAUACAUCGGAACGUGCCCAGUAGUGGGGGAUAGCUCGGCGAAAGCCGGAUUAAUACCGCAUACGACCUGAGGGUGAAAGCGGGGGAUCUUCGGACCUCGCGCUAUUGGAGCGGCCGAUGGCAGAGUAGCUAGUUGGUGGGGUAAAGGCCUACCAAGGCGACGAUCUGUAGCUGGUCUGAGAGGGCGACCAGCCACACUGGAACUGAGACACGGCCCAGACUCCUACGGGAGGCAGCAGUGGGGAAUGUUGGACAGUGGGCGAAAGCCUGAUCCAGCAAUGCCGCGCGUGUGAUGAAGGCCUUCGGGUUGUAAAGCACUUUUGGCGGGAACGAAAAGGACUGGGCCAAUACCACGGUUCGAUGACGGUACCCGCAGAAUAAGCACCGGCUAACUACGUG
rnacentral:rRNA from 1 species